rnacentral:rRNA from 1 species
CACGUAGGGCGCAAGCGUUGUCCGGAAUUAUUGGGCGUAAAGAGCUCGUAGGUGGUUUGUUACGUCUGCUGUGAAAUCCUAGGGCUUAACCCUGGGCUUGCAGUGGAUACGGGCAGACUAGAGGUAGGUAGGGGAGAAUGGAAUUCCUGGUGUAGCGGUGAAAUGCGCAGAUAUCAGGAGGAACACCGGUGGCGAAGGCGGUUCUCUGGGCCUUACCUGACACUGAGAGACGAAAGCUAGGGGAGCGAAUGGG